ensembl:lncRNA
UUUAGGGUUAAAGUAGUGGGAUGGUGUAGGAUCCUUUAGGGUUAAAGUAGUGGGAUGGUGUAGGAUCCUUUAGGGUUAAAGUAGUGGGAUGGUGUUGGAUCCUUUAGGGUUAAAGUAGUGGGAUGGGAUGGUGUUGGAUCCUUUAGGGUUAAAGUAGUGGGAUGGUGUAGGAUCCUUUAGGGUUAAAGUAGUGGGAUGGUGUAGGAUCCUUUAGGGUUAAAGUAGUGGGAUGGUGUUGGAUCCUUUAGGGUUAAAGUAGUGGGAUGGUGUAGGAUCCUUUAGGGUUAAAGUAGUGGGCUGGGAUGGUGUAGGAUCCUUUAGGGUUAAAGUAGUGGGAUGGUGUAGGAUCCUUUAGGGUUAAAGUAGUGGGAUGGUGUAGGAUCCUUUAGGGUUAAAGUAGUGGGAUGGUGUAGGAUCCUUUAGGGUU